rnacentral:rRNA from 1 species
UGUUCGCCAGAAAAUUACGGGCGAAAGCCUAAAACUCAAAAGACUUGACGGUAUUCCAACCUACCUAGAGGAGCCUGUUCCAUAAUCGAUAACCCACGUUCAACCUAACCACCAAUUGAAAACUCAGCCUAUAUACCGCCGUCAUCAGCUUAUCUUUUGAAAGCUAAAACAUAAGCCAAACAGUAAAAUACUAAAAAGUCAGGUCAAGGUGUAGCUUAUGUGGUGGAGGCAAUGGGCUACAUUAUCUCCAACAGAUAUACGAACAUAUCCUAAAUAAAGAUAUACUAAGGUGGAUUUAGCAGUAAGCUAGACAAGAAAACCUAACUAAACAAAGCCCUGGAACAUGUACACACCGCCCGUCACCCUCCUCAAAA